UGGGGAAUUUUGGACAAUGGGCGAAAGCCUGAUCCAGCAAUGCCGCGUGUGUGAAGAAGGCCUUCGGGUUGUAAAGCACUUUUGUCCGGAAAGAAAUCCUUGGCUCUAAUACAGUCGGGGGAUGACGGUACCGGAAGAAUAAGCACCGGCUAACUACAUGCCAGCAGCCGCGGUAAUACGUAGGGUGCAAGCGUUAAUCGGAAUUACUGGGCGUAAAGCGUGCGCAGGCGGUUUGCUAAGACCGAUGUGAAAUCCCCGGGCUCAACCUGGGAACUGCAUUGGUGACUGGCAGGCUAGAGUAUGGCAGAGGGGGGUAGAAUUCCACGUGUAGCAGUGAAAUGCGUAGAGAUGUGGAGGAAUACUGAUGGCGAAGGCAGCCCCCUGGGCCAAUACUGACGCUCAUGCACGAAAGCGUGGGGAGCAAACAGGAUUAGAUACCCUGGUAGUCCACGCCCUAAACGAUGUCAACUAGUUGUUGGGGAUUCAUUUCCUUAGUAACGUAGCUAACGCGUGAAGUUGACCGCCUGGGGAGUACGGUCGCAAGAUUAAAACUCAAAGGAAUUGACGGGGUCAUAGCUGUUUCCU
rnacentral:rRNA from 1 species